rnacentral:rRNA from 1 species
AAUAGAUACCCGGGUAGUCCACGCCGUAAACGAUGUCAACUCGGUGUGUGGCAGUCUUAUGGGCUGCUGCGUGCCUUAGCUCACGCGGGAAGUUGACCGCCUGGGGACUACGGUCGCAAGAUUAAAACUCAAAGGAAUUGACGGGGGACCCGCACAAGCGGUGGAUGAUGUGGAUUAAUUCGAUGCAACGCGAAAAACCUUACCUACCCUUGACAUGUCAGGAACCUCCGAGAGAUCGGGGGGUGCCCGAAAGGGAGCCUGAACACAGGUGCUGCAUGGCUGUCGUCAGCUCGUGUCGUGAGAUGUUGGGUUAAGUCCCGCAACGAGCGCAACCCUUGUCAUUAGUUGCUACGAAAGGGCACUCUAAUGAGACUGCCGGUGACAAACCGGAGGAAGGUGGGGAUGACGUCAAGUCCUCAUGGCCCUUAUGGGUAGGGCUUCACACGUCAUACAAUGGUACAUACAGAGGGCCGCCAACCCGGCGAGGGGGAGCUAAUCCCGAGAAAGUGUAUCGUAGUCCGGAUCGCAGU